GGAAGGAGGGGAGAAAAGGUCGACACACAAAGAUGAUCAAAUAUGCCUUUUUCUUCUUCAUCCUCAUGACCAACCACAUUAAAUGAUCCCAGAAGGAGAGGAGGAUGUGCCCCAGUGCUGCAUAAUUCAAGAUGACUGGUAUUUAAGGUCGUCUGGACUUGGGAUUCCAAGCCAUUUUGGGCAGAAUUGGGGUGAGAAGAAGCCAUGAAGUCCUACCUUAGCUGCUUGAUUCCACCCAAGGAAGUCUUCUCUCCAAUGGCCAACCUCGACUGUCUCACGGCCUCCUUCUUCCCAGCAAGCCCUGCAGAGGACACGUCCAUGUUGCUUCAACGUGUGGGGACCCUCAGCCCGGCCAGUGACAGACCCUCAGCCCGGCCAGGGAGUAGAUCCUCCGCCGGAGAGAAGAGUAUCCAGCGGCGGUUGCAUGGUGGUAAAUACUACUAAAAGAAGCCAAAUAACGCAGCUGUGCUUCUCCCCCUGCAGCAAAGUGGCGCAGAAGUUCUCACCUCGAGCAGGAGGGAAAAAAAAGAAAAAAAAAGGUCUAUCUCGCCUCGUCCACGCGUGGGCAGACCCGACGAGUGCGAUCGUGGUCUAAAAAGCCCCCCCAGCAUGGCAGCGUCUCUCCUCCGAGCGCAGGUUGCACCAGCAGGGCGCCCCCUGUCGGCGCAGUACACCCUUCAGCCAGAGAGGAGACGCGAUAAAAGAACUCCAAUCCUUGUCUUCUUUGUUAAAAAUGGAGACUUGAUGCUGCCUAUAACCUGCUAGCCAAGAAUAUACAACAAUUUUUCUCAAAAAAAAAGAGGAGAAAUAUAAUCUUAGAGAAAAAUGUAAUUUAAAACAUUUGUACGCACGUACAACACUUAAGACCUUCGGUAUAUCAGUAUGUGGAAUUAAAUGAUGGAAUGGAUUAAGCAAAGCAAUCAAACAAUGUACUAAUAUGAUCCACUUCAAGAAACUCUUCAAACUCAAAGUGUUUACAAAGUACAAAGAAGAAGAACCAUGACAAACAUUUUCAAUUUAUUUCAUCCACUCAUUCUUAAAGUAAUCUUACUUAUCUCAUCAUAUGAAAUAUGACUUUCUUCACCAAUUAUUAUUAUUAAAUUCUUAUUAUUAUUUAUUUAUUUUUAUUGUGAUUACCUAUGGAGUUUAUUGUGAAUAAAUUGAGAACAGGAAGUGCAUAAAAAAGUUUCAGCAACUGUUAUGUAAAGAAAAGGGGUAGGAUUAAAUAAGCUCUGCUUCUUCCUACUCCUUUUCAAACAUGUUGAAAAGAGAAACUGGAAAUUGUGAUGUAUCAUGUUGUAUGCUUGCAUGUUCGAAAUAAACUCAAACUCUAACUCUAAUGCUCGUCAUAUUGUGGCGUGCAGCUGUCGACUGGAUUUUAUUACACGUCUGAUGCACACUAACCUGCAGCUGUCACCGUGCAUGAGACAUUUUAAACCCAAUGUGUGUGUGUGUGCUUCAAACUGUCUCUGGAGUCCAUGGUCCACCAUGAAUGUUUUAUAUAUUUAAUGCAUAUAUCAUUGACAAAUAAAUGUUUCCAUGUUACAAAUGUUGUCAGUUUGAAUGCACAAUGCAAUAAAAGACACCACAAUAGCACUGUAUGUGCUUGUUUUAUUUCAACGCCAUUUAUAGCAGGACCAAAAGAAAGACGAGCUCAGAAGGCUGUAAUGCGGCUGCUGGACGCUAGGGGCGCUGUAGUGCGAGUAAGGAAACGAAGGAGAAGCAAGGCUCCUUGUUAGUGCAAGUGAGGAGGAAACAUCACCAAUAAAUAAGUCUUAAUGUACAAAAUCAACUACACAGAA